rnacentral:rRNA from 1 species
AUCCACUCGUCGCCACCGCCACAUCUCCCACCUCGGGAUCCAUCCCCAUCCAAUCAGUGUGUGCGUCCCCGAUCCAAAAUCCUCUCGAUCUCUCCCACCAACCAGCGCCUCCCCUGAUCCCCUCGUCCACCUCCUGCAGCCCGAGCACCGGCCGGCCACCGUAGCUCCUCCGCGGCCUCCUUCCUCGCCGGCCAACCAAGCUUCGUGCGCCUCUGCCUCCAGGGCCUCCUCAUCCCCAACCAGCGUCGCCUCCGGCCUCCAGUCGCCUUCAACCACCGAUUAGCGCAUCCCUGCGCCCGCGAGCGUCCGAGGCCGUGACCUCCUCCUCAUCCAUGACCACGUCGCCACCGGCGACCAGCACUCCCAAGCCGGCCUCGCGUCCCUUCUCCUCCUGUCCCCUUCCUCCCUUGGUUCCUCUUCUCUGACUCACUCUAGUAUCUCCCGUCCUCUCUGUUCUCGCAGGAGAACACCAUGGAAGCUGCAAGGUGCUCAAGCCCGCCGCCGGCCACCCGCGACCGCCUCCUCCGCAUCUGCAUCGCCUCGCCGGAGCUCCGUACGCGUCGCUGCCGUCGUCUCCGCGCCUCCGGCGACCGCAAGCCACCAGUGCACCAGGACCCACCCCGCGCCUCCUCUGCAUCGAACGAGGAGGAUGAGAUUCUUGUUUCCUCGCCAUCACUGCGCCCGCACGCCUAGUCCCUCGCGGCUCCACCGGUGACUGGUCCUCGCCGGUCUUCCCUACACGCCCGCUACCGCAACCCCGCCAUGGACGCAGUUCGCCGGUGACCACCCAGGAGCACCAACCGGGCCACUAUCGUCGAAGAUGGACUCCCGCCGCCCAGAUCCAUCCGUUUCCCCGUCGUCCACCGGCCUCCCCUUCUCAGGAGCUGCAUCGCUCCUCUGCCGUAGCUUCCUUGGACGAGCGCCCUCGCCUGGGCGUGUUCAUCCCUGCCGCUGCCGUUGUCUCUGCUCGCGCCCCUGCCCAGAUCGAACGAGCGAGGAGACCGCUCAUGUUGACCGCGUCAUGGCCUUCAGAUCGGGCCCAACGCCGCCUCGGCCUGUGAUUGGCGUCUCCAUCGACUGGGCCAUGGCCCAUGGUGAGGACACCCCCGUGCGCCCUCCUUUUUUGCCCCCGCAGUUGGGUCAGAUCUCAGAUUCGGCCCAUGUUCUUUUUUUUCCUCUCUGCGAAUUUAGCUAUUUAUCCGCAGUUUAUAGUUUUGCAGAAAAGACCUUCAUCUUCAUGCAUAUCAUAUCUCACAAACCGUGCAUCACAUGUAAAUAACUUAUAUAUGAAAAGUGCUUAGAACUUUGUCUAGUUUCAUAAUAUCCAACUUUCAUCCAUGUUUGAAAAGUUUAAAAUGUUGCUUGUUUAAAUUUGCUCAAAUGUCAUGUUAAAAUGCUUUAAUUCAUAACUAAUUAACCGUAGCUCCAAACCUAACAAACUUUAUAUGUAAAUGGGGUAGAAAAAUGCCUAGUUUAACAUGGUGACCUUAGUUUGCAUGUUUAACAACUCUAAAAUUGUGUUUAGGGCAGAACAGUACCAAACCUAAUUUAUGCAUAUGGGGAUUUACCCGAAUUGUUGCUCGUUGCUUCCGACCUCAUUUAAACUUUCCUAGAUAGGUAGUUUUGUUGUGCUUCACCCCUUGCCAUGUUAAUCAACAUUUAAUAUUGUUGGGUACACAAACGGGAGAGAACUAAAUAAUUGUUGUGGUGUUUCGUCAAUAUGCAACUCGUCGCAUAUUGAGCUCCAUUUAAUUUUGUAGUUUUGCUUGUGCACUUUGCCAUGCCAUGCAUAAUUAAACCGGGCAUGCAUCAUACUUGGUUGUGCAUCAUGCCAUGCUUAUGUCGCGGUUGUUUACUAUGUUGUGUGCUUCUUUCCGGUGUUGCUUCUUCGGGUUGGUUCCGUUAACGUCGCGUUUGUGAGGAACCGUUCGACUAUGUCCGUUUAUCUUCUUCAUGGACUCGUUCUUCUUCCUUGCGGGAUUUCAGGCAAGAUGACCAUACCCUCGAAAUCACUUCUAUCUUUGCUUGCUAGUUGCUCACUCUUUUUCUUUGCCUAUGCCGCGAUACCUACCACUUGCUUAUCAUGCCUCCCAUAUUGUUAAGCCAAGCCUCUAACCCACCUUGUCCUAGCAAACCAUUGUUUGGCUAUGUUACCGCUUUGCUCAGCCCCUCUUAUAGUGUUGUUAGUUGCAGGUGAAGAUUGGAGUUUGUUCCUUGUUGGAACAUGGAUAUUUUGUUGGGAUAUCAUAAUAUCUCUUAUUUAAUUAAUGCAUCUAUAUACUUGGUAAAGGGUGGAAGGCUCGGCCUUAUGCCUGGUGUUUUGUUCCACUCUUGCCGUCCUAGUUUCCGUCAUAUCGGUGUUAUGUUCCCGGAUUUUGCGUCCCUUACACGGUUGGGUUAUAAUGGGAACCCCUUGACAGUUCGCCUUGAAUAAAACUCCUCCAGCAAGGCCCAACAUUGGUUUGACCAUUCGCCACCUAGCCUCUUUUUCCCUUGGGUUAGGCCAGCCCAAGGGUCAUCUUUAUUUUAACCCCCCCGGGCCAGUGCUUGUCUAAGUGUUGGUCCAAACUGAGCGAUGUCCGGAGCUACCAGGGGCAACUCUGGGCUGGCCCACCCGACGUCUUGAUCAUCCGGUGUGCCCUAAGAACGAGACAUGUGCAGCUCCUAUCGGGAUUUGUCGGCACAUCUGGGUGGCUUUGCUGGACUUGUUUUACCAUUGUCGAGGAUGUCUUUUAACCGGGAUGCCGAGUCUGAUCGGAUUGUCUUGGGAGAAGGAAUAUCGUUCGUUGACCGUGAGAGCUUGUGAUGGGACACCCCUGCAGGGAUUAUAACUUUCGAAAGCCGUGCCCGCGGUUAUGGACAGAUGGGAAUUUGUUAAUGUCCGGUUGUAGAAAACCUGAAGUUUAUCUUAAUUAAAAUGCACCAACCACGUGUGUAACCGUGAUGGUCUCUUCUCGGCGGAGUCCGGGAAGUGAACACGGUGUUUGAGUUAUGCUUGACGUAGGUUGUUCUAGGAUCACUUCUUGAUCAUAGUUUCUCGACCGUGCUUUGCCUCCUCUUCUCGCUCUCUUUUGCGUAUGUUAGCCACCAUAUAUGCUAUUGCUUGCUGCAGCUCCACUUCAUACCUUUUACCCUUCCUAUAAGCUUAAAUAGUCUUGUUCGCGAGGGUGUGAGAUUGCUGAGUCCCCGUGACUCACAGAUUACUUCAAAAACCAGCUUGCAGGUGCCGUUGAUACCUUGCAGGUGACAUAGCCGAGCUCAAGGAGAAGCUCGAUAAAGAUCCCGUUCAUUGUGUUGAUCCGUUUCCAGUUGAUUAGUAGUGGAGCCCAGUUGGGACGAUCGGGGAUCUGUGUAGCAUUUGGGGUAGUCUUCUUUUAUUUUGGGUUCCGUAGUCGGACCUUGUGUGUAUCUGGAUGAUGUAAUGUUAUAUUCAUGUAUUGUGUGAAGUGGCGAUUAUAAGCCAACUAUGUAUCUCUUUCCCUUAUGUAUUACAUGGGUUGUGUGAAAAUUACCUCACUUGCGACAUUGCUUACAAUGCGGUUAUGCCUCUAAGUCGUGCUUCGACACAUGGGAGAUAUAGGCGCAUCGUGGGCGUUACAAGUUGGUAAUCAGAGCCUUCCCCGACUUAGGAGCCCCC